rnacentral:rRNA from 1 species
AGAGUUUGAUCCUGGCUCAGAUUGAACGCUGGCGGCAUGCCUUACACAUGCAAGUCGAACGGCAGCACGAGAGCUUGCUCUUGGUGGCGAGUGGCGAACGGGUGAGUAAUAUAUCGGAACGUACCCUAGAGUGGGGGAUAACGUAGCGAAAGUUACGCUAAUACCGCAUACGAUCUACGGAUGAAAGUGGGGGAUCGCAAGACCUCAUGCUCAUGGAGCGGCCGAUAUCUGAUUAGCUAGUUGGUGGGGUAAAAGCUCACCAAGGCGACGAUCAGUAGCUGGUCUGAGAGGACGACCAGCCACACUGGAACUGAGACACGGUCCAGACUCCUACGGGAGGCAGCAGUGGGGAAUUUUGGACAAUGGGCGCAAGCCUGAUCCAGCAAUGCCGCGUGAGUGAAGAAGGCCUUCGGGUUGUAAAGCUCUUUUGUCAGGGAAGAAACGGUGGACUCUAAUACAGAUCACUAAUGACGGUACCUGAAGAAUAAGCACCGGCUAACUACGUGCCAGCAGCCGCGGUAAUACGUAGGGUGCAAGCGUUAAUCGGAAUUACUGGGCGUAAAGCGUGCGCAGGCGGUUGUGCAAGACAGAUGUGAAAUCCCCGGGCUCAACCUGGGAAUUGCAUUUGUGACUGCACGGCUAGAGUGUGUCAGAGGGGGGUAGAAUUCCACGUGUAGCAGUGAAAUGCGUAGAGAUGUGGAGGAAUACCGAUGGCGAAGGCAGCCCCCUGGGAUAACACUGACACUCAUGCACGAAAGCGUGGGGAGCAAACAGGAUUAGAUACCCUGGUAGUCCACGCCCUAAACGAUGUCUACUAGUUGUCGGGUCUUAAUUGACUUGGUAACGCAGCUAACGCGUGAAGUAGACCGCCUGGGGAGUACGGUCGCAAGAUUAAAACUCAAAGGAAUUGACGGGGACCCGCACAAGCGGUGGAUGAUGUGGAUUAAUUCGAUGCAACGCGAAAAACCUUACCUACCCUUGACAUGUCUGGAAUCCUUGAGAGAUCAGGGAGUGCUCGAAAGAGAAUCAGAACACAGGUGCUGCAUGGCUGUCGUCAGCUCGUGUCGUGAGAUGUUGGGUUAAGUCCCGCAACGAGCGCAACCCUUGUCAUUAGUUGCUACGAAAGGGCACUCUAAUGAGACUGCCGGUGACAAACCGGAGGAAGGUGGGGAUGACGUCAAGUCCUCAUGGCCCUUAUGGGUAGGGCUUCACACGUCAUACAAUGGUACAUACAGAGGGCCGCCAACCCGCGAGGGGGAGCUAAUCCCAGAAAGUGUAUCGUAGUCCGGAUUGUAGUCUGCAACUCGACUACAUGAAGCUGGAAUCGCUAGUAAUCGCGGAUCAGCAUGUCGCGGUGAAUACGUUCCCGGGUCUUGUACACACCGCCCGUCACACCAUGGGAGCGGGUUUCACCAGAAGUGGGUAGCCUAACCGCAAGGAGGGCGCUCACCACGGUGGGAUUCGUGACUGGGGUGAAGUCGUAACAAGGUA